ACUGAUGAACAUGGGAGUCAGCAAUCAAAGA
rnacentral:piRNA from 2 species